rnacentral:tRNA from 1 species
CUAAGAGUAAUCUUAACCUAUGAGAUUGCUGGCUUCUCACUCUUUUAAUUUAUGUUCUUUUUAUUCUGAUGCUCAGGCCAAAUUAUCAUUUUCAUUUUUGAAAAUGAUUUUUGUUGCCUAAGAUAUUUAUUUGGGCCUGUAGCUCAGAUGGUUAGAGCGCACGCCUGAUAAGCGUGAGGUCAGUAGUUCAACUCUACUCAGGCCCACUUGGGUUGUGUGCAAGUAGAUCUUAAACCUAAUCCCAAUUACUUAAAGAAGUUUUUGGGGCUAUAGCUCAAUUGGGAGAGCGCCGCCCUUGCAAGGCGGAGGUUAUCGGUUCGAUCCCGAUUAGCUCCACAUUUUAUUUUGUUCUUUGAAAAUUUGAAAGAGUAAAAACAAUGAUUCUUUGAAUCAACGCUUUACUGAGCCUGAAAAUAAAUGAUAGAUAAUGUAUUAUUUUUUAAGAGAAUACAAAUCUAUCUGUGUAUAAAAAUUUU